ACCCCAAACCCUGCUUUGCCUCCAGCAUUUAUUAUAGUGUUAAAUGUAUAAAAACGUUUUUAAUUUAUAAUGGGGGUGGCACUCAGAGGCUUGCGAUGUGAAAGGGGUCACCGGUACAAAAGUUUGAGAACCACUGCUCUAUGGGCCCAGUCAUGUACAGGCCAUGCUGCUGCCCUCUGAGCCCAGAGCCCUUGGGAAUCACUCUCCACAAAGUCUGCAGCACAAACAAGUGUCCGGGCGCUGUUCAUUAGCAGUUGAGGCUCCUAAGGGCACCAAAACAAGCAGCCAUCAAAGCUGUGCGGGGAAUUGGGGUCAAGUGUUGGCACCAUCAACAUGACCGGUUGAGCCCCUCUGCAGGGCUUUUCCUUCACAGGUUCAAAGGCAGGAGUGUGUUGUCAUCCCUGGAUUACAAACUGGGAAACCAAGAACUCUUUCUAACAGCCCUUGACUAGCAUGUGGUGUGUGUGAUGGAGGCUUUACAGAGCAGGAAGCUACUUCACUGCCUCACCCUGUUUGCUUUUCUUUUUCAUUAGCCUUCUCCCUAGGGCAAAGCAUAGAAGUACUCGAUAAAGACAGAAAAUCGCUUGUUUCAUAGUAAAUCUGCAAAUAUGUGACCAAAAAUCCUCCUUAUUUAGAAUAAUAUGGAAACUGACCCUUGAAAUUAAAAUGAAGACACUGGGUUUGAUUGUUAAUUAUUCCUGCCCUGUCGGCUGUGGUGGGGGAGAGAGGCACAUCCAUCGCAUUAGAAAGGCUGUCCAGGCUCCUGAGGAAGUUCAGGAAGAAGGCUCUGCAGGUGGCCCCAGAGCCUGAGGGAAGCAGCUGCCAUCUUCCCCAGGAGCAAAGCGGCUUCUCCGUCCCUGCUGGCGGGGAAGGAGCUCCCCGCCGAGCGAGGAGGUGGAAGUGCCCAGCCUUCUGGCAGAGGAAAGCCACUCCUGGCGCAGGCGCUGAGCAGGAGGACGUCACGGCCAAAGUGAUGAACCAGCUCCGCAUGAUCCGGCACUUACGCCAGGUGCCUGAGACACUGCAGGGGCUGUGCCUCUGAGGCCAUCAGCAACUCCCGCUCC